GGUUAAGCGACUAAGCGUACACGGUGGAUGCCCUGGCAGUCAGAGGCGAUGAAGGGCGUGCUAAUCUGCGAUAAGCGCCGGUAAGGUGAUAUGAACCGUUAUAACCGGCGAUACCCGAAUGGGGAAACCCAGUGUGAUUCGUCACACUAUCAUUAACUGAAUCCAUAGGUUAAUGAGGCGAACCGGGGGAACUGAAACAUCUAAGUACCCCGAG
rnacentral:rRNA from 1 species